GAUCCUGGCUUAGGAUGAACGCUAGCGACAGGCUUAACACAUGCAAGUCGAGGGGCAGCAUAAAAGUAGCAAUACUUGGUGGCGACCGGCGCACGGGUGAGUAACGCGUAUGCAACCUACCUAUCAGGAGGGGAAUAACCCGGCGAAAGUCGGACUAAUACCGCAUAAAACAGGGGCACCGCAUGGUGAUAUUUGUUAAAGAAAUUCGCUGGUAGAUGGGCAUGCGUUCCAUUAGGUAGUUGGUGAGGUAACGGCUCACCAAGCCGACGAUGGAUAGGGAACUGAGAGGUUGGUCCCCCACACUGGUACUGAGACACGGACCAGACUCCUACGGGAGGCAGCAGUGAGGAAUAUUGGUCAAUGGGCGGGAGCCUGAACCAGCCAAGUCGCGUGAAGGAAGAAGGAUCUAUGGUUCGUAAACUUCUUUUGCAGGGGAAUAAAGUGCAGGACGUGUCCUGUUUCGUAUCCGUACCCUGAGACUUAGGAUCGGCUACUCGUGCCAGCAGCCGC
rnacentral:rRNA from 1 species